UUCGAAGGAGAGGGACAGCCUGCACAAAACAGCCUGUGGUCGGAGUCAGAGCAGCCUGCUCCAGAAUGCGCGCUCCCUCUCCCGCUCUCCUCCCAGCAAACGCAGGGCUUAAGAGGCAAUGUUAGUGGGAGGCUGGAAGACAAUACACUCUUCUUCUAUAAGUUGCCUUGGUCAUGGUGUGUUUUCAUAGAAACAGCAAAGUAAGAAGACAAACAUCCAGACACAAAUUGUUCCAAAGAAGAGCCACUUCAGAGAACCAGAGGAUAAAGACACACACCUGACUUUCCUGACAGCUUCCCUCUCUGCAACUGAAAGGCAGCCACGCAUUUAUGAAUAAAAUAUGAAAGUAAUAUGUAAAUAUGUGUUACUUUGGGAAAUUAAAAGGCUCCUCUGUGGACAUCCUUCAUUUGAAUUGCAUCUACACAAUGUCAUGGUGGAAGAAACUCAGCUUUCUCAGGCUUAUAGGUGAGGAGAACAACCGAGCUUCCAAGUUGGCCCAGGGUUGUCCUCCCUUGCUGUCUGGUCAAAGGCUCCAGAUGGUCAUAUGCAUUUUAGCAGCUGGUCCUGUACUCCUCACAGUAAAUAAUACACCACAGGAGAAAAAGAAGAAUUUGACUCUUCAAGAAGCAAUUUGUUCCCAUCUGUUUGCUACUAGAUUGUGAAUAUGUUAUUCUAACAUUAAUAUUUUUUUCUGCCACAAUUGUCCAAAAAAUAAAUUUCCUUUCUUUCUAUUA